GAUGAACGCUGGCGGCGUGCCUAAUACAUGCAAGUCGAGCGAACGGACGAGAAGCUUGCUUUUCUGAUGUUAGCGGCGGACGGGUGAGUAACACGUGGAUAACCUACCUAUAAGACUGGGAUAACUUCGGGAAACCGGAGCUAAUACCGGAUAAUAUUUUGAACCGCAUGGUUCAAAAGUGAAAGACGGUCUUGCUGUCCCUUAUAGAUGGAUCCGCGCUGCAUUAGCUAGUUGGUAAGGUAACGUCUUACCAAGGCAACGAUGCAUAGCCGACCUGAGAGGGUGAUCGGCCACACUGGAACUGAGACACGGUCCAGACUCCUACGGGAGGCAGCAGUAGGGAAUCUUCCGCAAUGGGCGAAAGCCUGGCGGAGCAACGCCGCGUGAGUGAUGAAGGUCUUCGGAUCGUAAAACUCUGUUAUUAGGGAAGAACAUAUGUGUAAGUAACUGUGCACAUCUUGACGGUACCUAAUCAGAAAGCCACGGCUAACUACGUG
rnacentral:rRNA from 1 species